rnacentral:rRNA from 1 species
AGUCGAGCGGUAACAGGAAGAAAGCUUGCUUUCUUUGCUGACGAGCGGCGGACGGRUGAGUAAUGCCUGGGAAUAUGCCUUAACGUGGGGGAUAACUAUUGGAAACGAUAGCUAAUACCGCAUGAUGCCUACGGGCCAAAGAGGGGGACCUUCGGGCCUCUCGCGUUAAGAUUAGCCCAGGUGGGAUUAGCUAGUUGGUGAGGUAAUGGCUCACCAAGGCGACGAUCCCUAGCUGGUCUGAGAGGAUGAUCAGCCACACUGGAACUGAGACACGGUCCAGACUCCUACGGGAGGCAGCAGUGGGGAAUAUUGCACAAUGGGCGCAAGCCUGAUUGCAGCCAUGCCGCGUGUAUGAAGAAGGCCUUCGGGUUGUAAAGUACUUUCAGUCGUGAGGAAGGCAUUURCGUUAAUAGCGUAAGUGUUUGACGUUAGCGACAGAAGAAGCACCGGCUAACUCCGUGCCAGCAGCCGCGGUAAUACGGAGGGUGCGAGCGUUAAUCGGAAUUACUGGGCGUAAA